rnacentral:lncRNA from 1 species
CUCAAACGUCAUUAAAUAUUUGUAAGCAGAAUUUAACUAUUUAAAAAAAGAGAGAGAGAAAAAUAUUUCGCAAAACGAUUACGAUACACGAAUAUUUUGCAAUCAAACGUUUUUGUUAAGUAUCUUUCCUAGAAAAUGUACGUAUAUAUAUAUAUAGUUGUUUUUUGUGUGUGUAGCCAGCGUAAAGAACAAAUUUGGGGUUGGGAUAAAUUUUGGGUCUUUCAGGUUAUCCCGACCUUGAAUUGGCUUUCGGCAGUGAACACACAAAAGAAGAAAAAAAAAAAGGCAAUUCGCCAGAGCAUUUAUAGGAUUUAUGGAUGCUGGCGCUUGAUGGCAUGAAUAAAUCGAUAUGUGUAAUCUCACUUCUUCUCUUUGUUUUCUUCUUCUCUUCCUUGCAGGAGCAGGAUAGUGAAAAGCA